UAAGGGAGACCACAAGCCUGCCUUGAGGAGAAGGUCCUCACAAGGAACUGGUGAAGGGCCAGGACCGCCAGGCAUGUCUCGAUGUUUUGCCCUGAGAAACAUUUCCUGCACAUAGGGCUCUUGUGACUGCAUGAGAAUAGUGCUGAGAAUAACAAGCUGGCCUUGAGGAAAACAGAUUGUCUUUUAAUCCUGAGAAAAUAGAGUCUAUGUGUCUCAUAAACUUUGUAAACUUGCUGUUAUCAACUUUGUCCGUGCUCAAGCUCUAUCUGUGUAACCUUGUUUUUUGUAAGCUAUCCCCUUGCUCUCAUGUAUAAAACGACUCCUUUAGAAGUAAAGUUUUGUCAGUCUCCCAGAGAGGCUGUCCGUGUCCUCUUUUCAGAAUCUACUCCGCCGAGCCCUCCACAAGUGGCACCCAACGUGGGACCUCCGAAGUCACGACAAGUUGAACACGGAGAAAGAUUCCUGCAGAAGAAGAUGGAGAAGACAUCUAAGCUCCGCAGCGGUACAUACGUCCUCAACAACCAAGAUCCCUCGGGAACAAAAAAUAGGUGACCCACAUCACCAAGAGAAUGGCCACAAUGUCACUGGAGGAAGAGAAAUAACGGAAAAGAAGGAAAGGUACUCCAGCUCAACCGUGCCCCCUUGGGCACAGAUCAAGAAUCUGACAAGGAAAGCUCAAGAUGUACUGAAAGAAACCGGAACCCCUUUAACUCCUGAUAAACUUUUCUUGGGUAUGCUAGCUGUAUUGUCCUGUACAUCGGUGGUAAAUGCUAAUUAUACAUACUGGAUUUCCAUUCAUUCCUGCUCCGCCUUUGUUGCAAUUUGUUGAUUGGAAUGAACCUAGCCCUCUGGUCUUAACUAAUGAUAGCCAACACUUCCCUCCUCCAUGGUCUAGAGCUGGACCUUCUCACCCUGAUCAAGAGGGGAAAGCAGCCAAUAUAUCCAUAAGGUAUAAGGUUUUACCUAUUUGCUUCGGUGCAAGUCCUCCUUGCAUGUCUAUAUUUCCUCAAUGGUGGGGUUAUUCCUAUAAUAAUGGCACAGGUUUUAGGUUGGGUUUUUUUGCUGCCACUUCAUUUCUGUUAAAUCAAUCUCAAAAAUAUUAUCAUGGGCGAAUUUCUAACAGUACAAAUGCUUUAUUUUUACCUGAGGAACCUCCCUGUGAAGCAAUAUCCCGGUGAAGAAAACAUCAAGGCCCUCCAUUAUUAUGGUCUGACUGCCAGGGAAUUAUUGGGAAAAUAUCUCGUUAUUUGAAUGUUACCUUUAUUGAUUGGGGACCACAUGAAAUAUUUGUUAAUUGCUCUGAAUGGGAAGAGGGAACUUGCAAUGGGACAAAAAUAUUAGAUUUAAACAUUCUUUGGGGGGACUAUGGCAUCAACAGAAUGAUAUCCUGAAUUGUUAUAAUGGUGUCUCCACCCAGGCCCCAUAUGAUCCACCCUCAACUCGGGACUAAGCAUUGGCACAUCUGGAGAAUACCUGCCUCUUUACACCAAUUUGCUACCCUUAUAAGACACGCUCAUACUUCAGGUCCCCAAAACUAUACUAUCACUUAUAAUGGCACUGGGUUCAUUCAAGCAUGUGUACACCCCCCUUUUCUGUUUGCUACAGGAAAAUUCAUCAUUACAAACUCCAUGCAACUCAUCAAUUGCACAAACUGUAAACUCUACACUUGCUUGAACCAUAGUUUGCCAUUCAAUCAUAGUAGGGAGGGAAUUUUCCCUAUGAAACAGAGAGCAGAAUUAUGGAUACCUAUUUCUCUUGAUGAACCAUGGUCUGACUCUAUGUUUCUAUCGUUUUUACUAAAAAGAGUUGUCAAAAGAGCUAAACACUUUGUUGGUUAGAUUAUAUUAGGCAUUAUUAGCCUCAUAACAGUCGUGUCUCUUGGCACUAUGUCAGGCAUGGCCUUAUAUAAUUCUAUUCAAAAUCAUGAGUUUAUCACUUCAUGGCAUAAAGAUUCCCAUGAGCUGUGGGCACAACAAGCAAAAAUUGAUCAGCAAAUCCAGGCCCGGUUAGAUAAAAUACAGGAUGCUUUAUUAUAUGUAGGAGAUCAAGUAAAUCGAUUACAAUUACCACUCAAACUGAAAUGUCUUUGAAACUUUACAAACUUUUGUAUUACUGAUUUACCCUACCAUGCCUCUGAGUACCCUUGGGACACGAUUAAAGCUCAUUUACAAUUAGAAAAAACUAACAUGAGUCUUAAUAUUGAAAAAUUGAAGAAACAAAUAAGUGACAGUUAUUCUAACUUACCCCCAGAAUUAUACAGUUUGCAGUUUUAUGAUGCAUUAAUCUCUGCCUUUUCAUCACUAGACCCUUGAUCUUGGUUUUUGUCUUCUCAUAUUGUCUCAUAUGUUCUAAUAAUUCUCAUUAUAUGCAUUGGUAUUAUAGGCUUCCAAUGCCUCUGGAUCAGAUCCUCCUGAACCCAAGAUACAAAAAUAAAAAUGACAGCUGCAGUCCCAACACUAAAAAAGAAAAGGAGGAAAUGUUAAGGGAGACUACGAGCCUGCCUUGAGGAGAAGGUCCUCACAAGGAACUGGUGAAGGGCCAGGACCGCCAGGCAUGUCUCGAUGUUUUGCCCUGAGAAACAUUUCCUGCACAUAGGGCUCUUGUGACUGCAUGAGAAUAGUGCUGAGAACAACAAGCUGGCCUUGAGGAAAACAGAUUGUCUUUUAAUCCUGAGAAAAUAAGAGUCUAUGUGUCUCAUAAACUUUGUAAACUUGCUGUUAUCAACUUUGUCCAUGCUCAAGCUCUAUCUGUGUAACCUUGUUUUUUGUAAGCUAUCCCCUUGCUCUCAUGUAUAAAACGACUCCUUUAGAAGUAAAGUUUUGUCAGUUUCCCA